CGUGAGGUUGUCUGCACAAGCGGCGUUGAAAAAUAAAGGGAAUUUCACUUUUUUGGGUGUAUCAGAAACAACGCAGAGGCUAGAGUGCUGGAUUUCAACACAGGAGUGGAGUAGGGAGUGUUUAAUUGGUGUGCCAAGUAAUUUAGUGCCAGUUCUGCAUUGGUGUGAAGGUUCCAGAGAGAUUCUGUUACUAAAUCCACCCAUCUAUUUCUGGUAGCAGUGGAAAGCCUUACACCCAGCUUCUCGCACACCUCUGAUUGCGAUAUUGGAACUUCGCGUUAACUGGUGAAACCAACACUCAACGACUUGUCUGAAGUAUCCUCGUUAAAGAUCUGACAACUCUGUUUUGAAGCUUGCAAGGAUUUUUUUUGCGGGGGACUUUGAUCAAUGCUGGAGUUUUCCCAGAUGCUGUGGAUGGUGACUGAUGACAAGGUGUGCACAAGACAAGCUUGAUACCAGAAAUUGACUGAUGGUCGCUGUAAAAUAUACAGAUGAUGUCAUGACUCGAGUUCAUGUGAUGCUAUUGUUUCAACUACGUGUUUAAGGAGACAAUGGAAAGCACCAAGAUGCCUUCUUGCGAUGAUUCUAAGCAGCCGGU